AUUCCGGUUGAUCCUGCCGGAGGCCAUUGCUAUCGGAAUCCGAUUUAGCCAUGCUAGUCGCACGGGUUAGACCCGUGGCGAACAGCUCAGUAACACGUGGCCAAACUACCCUGUGGACGGGGAUAAUCUCGGGAAACUGAGGCUAAUCCCCGAUAGGGCUUCCAUCCUGGAGUGGGGGAAGUCCGAAAGGUUGCGCUGCGGCACCACAGGAUGUGGCUGCGGCCGAUUAGGUAGACGGUGGGGUAACGGCCCACCGUGCCAGUAAUCGGUACGGGUGAUGAGAGUCAGAGCCCGGAGACGGUAUCUGAGACAAGAUACCGGGCCCUACGGGGCGCAGCAGGCGCGAAACCUUUACACUGCACGACAGUGCGAUAGGGGGAUUCCGAGUGCGAGGGCAUACAGUCCUCGCUUUUCUGGAUCGUAAGGAGAUGCAAGAAUAAGGGCUGGGCAAGACCGGUGCCAGCCGCCGCGGUAAUACCGGCAGCCCGAGUGAUGGCCGAUAUUAUUGGGCCUAAAGCGUCCGUAGCU
rnacentral:rRNA from 1 species